rnacentral:rRNA from 1 species
ACGGGAGGCAGCAGUGAGGAAUAUUGGUCAAUGGUCGGAAGACUGAACCAGCCUAGUAGCGUGAAGGAUGACUGCCCUAUGGGUUGUAAACUUCUUUUAUGCGGGAAUAAAAAAGUCCACGCGUGGACUCUUGCAUGUACCGCAUGAAUAAGGAUCGGCUAAUUCCGUGCCAGCAGCCGCGGUAAUACGGAAGAUCCGAGCGUUAUCCGGAUUUAUUGGGUUUAAAGGGAGCGUAGGCGGGCCUUUAAGUCAGUGGUCAAGGCGUGUGGCUCAACCAUACCACGACGUUGAUACUGGGGGCCUUGAGUGCACAUAAGGAUGGUGGAAUUCAUGGUGUAGCGGUGAAAUGCUUAGAUAUCAUGAAGAACUCCGAUUGCGAAGGCAGCUGUCCGGGGUAUAACUGACGCUAAUGCUCAAAAGUGCGGAUAUCAAACAGGAUUAGAUACCCUGGUA